UCUAAUUAGAGUUUUAAAACCAAAUCAAAUUACAAACUAAGAAUAAAGGCAAAAAUAAAUUACAAUAAAAAUCAAAUCAGAUCAAGCCAUGCUAUGUUGACUUUGUUCACUGCCAAACCCUGCCAUGUUGAUGAUGACUGCCAUUGAUGCACAAGCCAUGCUUAUUGGUACAUCUGUUCCUGUUUUAACUAAAUUGAGAAACAUAAAAACAUAAUUUUUUAAAUCAGUCUUGGUACACAUUGUGCAGAACAAAGAGACAACUUUUAGAGUUUAAAAAAAAAGAAACUAAAAGACAAAUUAAAGCUCAGCAACAGAACUGAUCAAAACAGAUAAGUCAAAACCAUGAAUACAUCAGGGAUGCAGAAAAAUGCAGAUGAUGAGCAAGGCAAUCAAAACAUCAAACAGGAAAUAGAUAGAGAAGGACCAAGGCAGACAAAGAAAGCAACUGAACACAUAAAAAACUCUAUAAAUAUACCCUAUAAAAUUUCAAAGGGGGAGGAUCGGAGAUUAACACCAUUAAAAAACGCACAAAGAAAGAUAAAAGGAAAAAAACCAAACCUUUAUAUUGUCACCA
rnacentral:lncRNA from 1 species